rnacentral:tRNA from 1 species
UUUUUGGUGACUGAAAUUUAAGUGGUAGACUUUUAAUCUAUUUAUGAGCAUAAGCUCCCUUGCGAUGAU